rnacentral:lncRNA from 1 species
UUGUGUUAUAAUGAUCUCUCUUCGGAAAGAAGCAGCAUAAUGUAAUUUUUUUCAUUUAAAUAAUUAUUUCUAAAGAAAUGUAAAAGCUGGGUUUCCAUUUCAUUGUAAGGAUCAAGGAGACUGGGUCCUGGUCUCCUCAUGUGUUCAAUGAGAUUGAUGGAUGCUCCAUGGCUCAUGGUGUGGUUGUGAGACUCUCAGACUACAUUAAAUUAGAGAUAGUGCAGUUGUGAGAGUGAAGAGAGGCCUCAGGGAUGAUCUUCUCCCAGCAUCCUCCAGAUUCUGAGUUUGUUGCCAGCAGCCAACACUGGCAGGGAAAGAUGGCUUAAACCAGUUGGCUUGCUUUGAAUGCCCAUAAUUGGCCAUACUAUCUCUGCAGAUGGUCCCUGAGGGCACAGCUCCUGCUUGGCAGAAGAGUCAGUGGUUUUCUACCAGGCCCCAGAAGUGUAGGUUUAAUUUCUGAAGCUGGUAGUAAGAUGGGAACCACGUUGCCCUGUGAUUAGCCUGCGGGAGCCAGCAGUCGACCUGAGCUCCGCCCACCCUGAGGCCCUGCCUGGGCAUGUGCUGGAAGUUCCUUUAAACAGAUUCAAAUAACAACAUUUUAUGUCUCAAGAUACCAAAAGCAUAUGAGGGCAGUCUGGACUCAGCAGGCUGCACAUUUCUCCAAAAAAAUAAUUUAUCACUGAUUCUUUUAGCAAUAAAACAGGGGAGGGAGAGAAGUUCAAUAAUAGAAGUAACAGGUGCAAUUAUAAAAGUUCCAAUCAUACUCUUUAGUUAUGAAGUUAAUUCCUCAAUAAAACAUGCAUACAACUCAAGAACAACAAACAGAGCUAAUUUCUACUCUAGGAAUUCAGAAUAAAGUUAGAUUCCUGUGCCAUAGACUAGAAGCUGGUUGUUUUCCACCCAAGAGCAAGGUAAUAAGCAGAAAGAGAAAACUCUUUUCGUUCUCUUAAAUAGGAGGUACGCUCAGGAGACAUUCUUACUACCAGGGAAAAGAGAAUGGGAUUUGGAAUCUGUAAUGUGAUCAGCCACUUGCAUACCUGGAUGAGUUUGUUAGCCAUUCUGAGACCGCAGUCACUUCCUAUUUUAGUAAAGAUCGGGCUAAUCAUAUCCACUCUCAAGGUGGAGUUGGGAGGAUGAAACGCUGAAAGCACAGCUGGCUUUUUUGGCUAACAUUUAUUGUGGGCCUACUUUGUUUCAGCAGAGUCAGGCUUUGGGUGACCCCAUUGUCCAUAUGCCUUCCAAAACCCACGUUACCUCUCCCAGCACUGUUCAAUAAACAUUAGGCUCUCUCUUUCCCACUCUGUAUUUUGUGCAGCCACAAUCUCCAACUUCAAUUUGUGCAUCUUCAAUUCUGUAAAAGUAAUGACAAUCUACUGCUGCUUCCCUUAUGAUAUUUUGCCACAGUAAUCUUCCUCCCUCUCUCUCUCAGUCAACUCUUGCCAUCCCCCUACCUAAUGGCAUUUUCCAGCUCUCGGGAAUUAUGAAUCAAUCUGCAAUUUCUUUUCCUAGAAUCCUUCCCCCAAGAGUCCUGAUCACAUGUGAAACAAGUUUAGCCAUUGUGCAAAUUAGUUCUGUGGCCAACUUCCUAAUGCAAAGUCUUGCAGAAGCCAAGGGUGGGACUGGGAAAAUGAAGUCAGUGUGACAGCCCCAUGGUGAGUGGGAGGGUUGGAAGACUGUGUGAUCCAAAGGAAAAAAAAAAACACUAGACCAGGAGUCUCAGCCUUUCACCCCGAUCUACCCCUGAGUCCUAUGGCCACCGUAACACAUUUAAUAUCUAUGGGCUUCCGAUUCCUCACCUGUGAGAUCAGGAGGUAGGGAUCAAAUCAGACAUGGUAAAUAGGUGGUACUGGUGCCAUCAUCCACUCGUUCACUUGCCUCCUCCCACUCCACACACACACACAUCCAUGGCACAUAUCAUUAACCAAUCAGUACACUAUUUCCUGCAGAACACAGGCUAGCCCCAGCACUCCACGCAAUCACCACCAAACAAUCAGAGUUGGCACAGGAUACAAGGUUUCUCUGUACCAUCCUUGAGCUGUAACCUAAAAACCCUCUUUAAUAUUUAAAAAUCCUCUCCUUCUAUGACAUGGAUUUCUUCAGCAUACAGGUUUGCAGACUAAUGAGCAUCACCAUAAAGUAGGGCAGUGUAACUUCCUGGAAAUCAACAUGUACCGUCUAAUGCCUCUUCACACUGCAGCUCUGGGCAGAGUGUGGAAUGGCCAGGCUAGCCUGCCAUGUGGGGAAACCAGUCCUGAGUAUAACCCACAGCUCCUUGUCUAUGCAAUGGGAGAUGGUCCUUUAAUGCCUGGCACUGAUUUUUUAUUGGAAUUUCCAAAGAGCAUAUCCCAUGAGCCUUGUUUCACCAUGGAUAAUCAGACUAAUUCCUCAGACUCCACGGUGCCAAGUCUUUCCUUACUUGCUAGCUUCAGUGUCUGCUUUGGUCUCCUGCCCUGCUUGUGAAGCUCUGGCCCUCUCCACUGUAGAUUCCACAGCCCGUGACCUUGACUCAACUCCGUAUCUGGCUCCAGCCACCCCGGGCUGACUUGCUGCCCCUUUCCCCUGCCAGCCAGGGCCCAGCAACCCCAGAAUCGCCUGUCCUCUGUUGCCCCAUCUGCCCCUGGCCACCCACCUCCAACACUGAAUCUCCCCAGAUGUGUCUGAUGUCUCAGCACUUCCCCUCAAGCAGCAAGUGGCACUCAGCGUCGGACACUCCUCUGGCCCUGAGGGGACUGGGACUAUGGAGCAGUGGGAUCCUUGCUACCCCACAGCCUUCAAUAGCUUCAGUAGCUCCCUUUUCUUAUCUGAAUUUCUCUGCCUGGUUUCUAAGGUCCAUCGUGAUCUAACCUACCUUUCCCACUUCCCAUCACCCCUCCACACUAGCCACCUUGCUCUUCCGGGUGCAGCAUCGGUCCCCAAGCCCACACCCACCUGAGGCCUCUGGACAUCAUUUUCCUCUUGCCAGGAACUUCCUCUCCUCUUUCUCAAGGUCCCCACCCUACCAAUUCUUCACAAUCCAGCUUACAGCCCAUCUCCUCCAUGAAGCUUCUCCUGAUUAUGCCAGACUUUGGUUUUUACCUAGUAUUUAACUUUCCACCAGGUAAUUUAGUACUUAAUUCUAUGUUACUUCACAGGAUUUUACAGAGCAGAAGUUCUUUAAGGACAAGAACCUGCCACAUGGCCUGAGUGUCUCUCCCUGGUGAUAUUACAACAAAUUAACAAGCAAAACAAACAUCAUUGAGCUCCUCUCCUAUGACAAAAGUGCUUAAGCACUUGCUAAUUCAUUUUCUGAACCACUGAGUAAGUAUGCUGGGAUGCAUCAAAUUCUUGCCCAUUUAUGUCCAAUCUGGAUCAUAACAGAUCCUUCUCUCCCUGAAUUAAAGAAAAACUUAGAUUAUGCUGGAGUCCAAGAAAGUAUUUGCCUAUUAGGCUUUAGCAAUGAUUUUCGAACUUUUAAUACCAAGAAUUAUCUGGGGGAUUUUCUAGAAGAGCAGAUUUCUCAGCUGCAUGGACAAAGUUCCUGAUUUCAUGGGAUAGGGCCUGAAGUGUGCAUUUUAAUAAGUGGUGUAGGUAAUUUUAAGGUAGAUAGUUCAUCAAUCCUACUCUGAAGAAAAAACAGAGCUGUGGGAACUUCAUUUUCCAGAGGCAAUCUGCAAUGGGUGGGGCAAAGGCAGAGAAGGGGCCACCAUCCCCAGAAAGGUCUAUCCAGAUUUUCCUCAGCCUCUUCCUUGGUUAUACUCCAACUCUGAUUACCAAAUCUUUGAGACCCUCAGCCAACAGGCCAUUUGACCUUGAAGAGUCAUUUUUUAUCUGCAGGGAUCUCCCGGCCACAGGCCUCCACUCAGCCUGCCCUCACUGAAGGAAACAAACACACCAGUGCUCUCUUAACCAGCUGCAGUGUUGGGCUUACAGGUUAUUUUAACUCCACUAUGAAUCAGAACAGAAUUAUGAAUAAUUUACAUGAGACUUGUCACAUCUUGUUUCAGUCUUUCUUUGGCUCAUAGUUUUCCUUGUUUGGCCUUUCAAAUACUUAUAUGUCUGUUUAUUUUCAAGUCUGGAAGACUACAUAGGUAGCAUUACACAGAAUCUGGCUUCUCAUGGCUGACAUCUCAGGAAGCUCUCAAAUUUACAAUCCCACAUGUCAAAAGUAAGGAAACAAAGAAAGCUUCCAAAAAGGCAGGGCAGAGCUGGGUAGAGCAUCUCAGCUGGCACCCAGGCUGAGUAAUUCUUCUCUGUGUCUUAGCAUGCCGUAUACAGAGGCCUGAGGCCAGAUGGAUUUCCACAAUAACUUUUGCAGCCUUAUUAACACCCAUCCUGUUUGCACAUGGCAACUUUGUAGGGUAGACAACUGUUAAUAAGAAAGAAAUAAAGUAUUUUUUUAGAAAAAUACUCCUGCCCCAAAGCAGAUGUUAAACAACGAGGCUCCCAAAAGAAUAUUGUGUAAAGGAUCCUCUAAGCAUAAGUUAGAAUGUCUAUUUCAAACGAGAGAAAUAUUCUCUGGAGAUUUCCCCUAACUGAGGCAGUGAAUGCUCCCAUGAGCUUCCUGGGCACAAGAGAUACCUCAGAACACCACUGGUGUUUCUUCAAAAAAGUACAGUUCAAGUGCUCUGUAGAGUAAUAAAACCAAGUUCUCUUCUCCCUCCAGUGCUAGAUUCUACCCGGGGUUCACAAUAAGUCUGUGUAAUGUGUUUAUUGAAAAACUGGUUUUCACUUUCUUCCAGGUGCACAGGGUUUCUGAGCCAGGAGCCAUUGAGAGUGGGAAGAGCAUCUGGAAAGACCGGGAGUAAGGAUGCCCCAUCUGAUGGAAAAAAGGAAGUGCAUGCCAACCCAUUUUUGCACCUGGGUCUUUUAUUUGCCUUUACACUGGACUCCUGCAAGCCCUAAGCAGGACAUUGUAUCAAGCUGAUGGACUUGUGUUGAGUUCUCUUUCAAGUCACCCCAAGCCUUAGGAGAGUCAUAUUUCUGACAACUAAAUUCAUUAAGCCUUCCUAAGCCUCUUUUAAAUCAUGAUUCUCCCUUUGAAACAAUAGCCACAGACAUUAAAGUCCAAAUAGUCAUUAACCUUUAUCACCAUUCACUAGGAGGUCAGAGGAGAAGAGCACCAUGUAGGAAUGGACAGCCUUGUGGGUGUCAUGGAUGCAUGGUCCCAUCUAGAACCCUGGGGCACAGAUAUCAUGAGCAGAAGAGGCAGCAGGGCCAGAAGUGGAUGCGAAUUCUGCCUCUACCAUUUCUAACCAGUAUACCCUGGGCAGUGUACUUGACUGCUUUGUUCUUCAGUCUCCUCCUCUGUGAGGUUGAGAUAAUGAUAGCAACUAAUUUAGGAGAUUGUUGUGUGAAUUAAAUGAGAUUAUCUAUGUCAUAAUAGCUAUGCAAUAAGUGCCUAAUAUAUGUUGAUUUUUGACUCUGUUUUCUAGAGAAGACAGAUGUAGAAUUUAGUCUUCAUGAUAGGUGGCUUCUGAAGAUGUCAAAAGGGACAAUACCUCAGAGGCUGGCAGCCCCCUGACAUGGUGAAAUAGGCAGCCAUGUGGUCAGGCCAGGACACAAGAUUCACACACUCCCUCUCCUCCCUCAGUAAUGCUCAGGUUGUCUGCAGGAAAUAUCCUAUAGUCCUACGUAUCUUAUUCCCCACCUUGGACAAAGUGGGGAGAAAGACAUAAAAGGAUUUCUCAGCUCUUGCUCAGUUUUCAUCUCAUGAAAGAAUAAGACUUGCAUCAGAUUUCAUGAGUGUACCGUCAAGUUCUUACCUGGCAGAACUAAUCUUCUAGGGGAACAAUAGGUCAUGUUAAUUAAGUGCUCAUUCUCCUAAGUAUAUUUUUUAUUAUCUCAUUUUUUUCCUCAUAGCAACCCUCUAAAGAGGGUCUAUUAUUAUCCCUAUCUUACAGAGGAAACUGAGCCCAGAAUGGUAACUUGCCCAAGGUCAUCAUUUAGCCAGAACCUAAACCCAUUGGGUCAAACUCCAGCACCCACUCUACAAAGCUAUGUCUCACCUCAACCAGCCCGCUCUCCUUCUGACUCACUUCGGUAUUUCAUUUUUUAACUGACAUUUGCUAAGAAGGUCAAAUGGAUGAUGAAGGAUGUUGUUGAGCACUCAUUUUAACAAAGUUGUAUCUAGCACUUAAUCAUGUGACCAAUCGCUCUACUAAGACUAGGAUAUGAAGGGAGGGGAGGACAUGCAGUCCAUGUGCCUCAUGAACAUUCCAUCUCCUUGAUUGGUGGGGGAGAGAGAGAAAGAAAAAGAGAGGCCACAUGAAAUAAAAAUAACAAUGUAAGAAAGAGAGAGAGGAAGAGAGAGGAAGCAGAUACCUGGGAGAGUACAGAGGAGUGAUGAGAUGAUUCGACUGCACAAGGAAGGUCAGUGUGUCUUCUUUGCAUUUAUGGUAAAUGGAAGAAACUGAAGCUUAGAGAUCUUAAAUAGCAAAUCCUGGUUUGCUUAGCAAAUCAGUGGGGGGAGUUAGGAGUCUAGUGUCUGACUCUGAGGCCCACACCCUCUUCACUGCACAUAUGUCUCCCUGAGUUGAGAGGGUAGUUUAUGACCAUGUCCUUAAGGGCCUGAAUGUUGCACUAAGGAACUUGGGCUUUAUUCUCUAAUGAAUAUAAGUACCCACAAUGCUCCUCUGCUCUAAAGUUAACAGCAUCACCUAGGGAUUGCCGGGCAGAAGGCAAAUCCCACUGGUUUCCUUCUAUGCGCACAUAUAUCCCCUCCAGGGGUGUCCAGUGAGUCAAUCAACCACUUUUUUCACUUUUAUGCAAACACAGCAGCUGGAUUAGCUGCACCUGCAGCCUCUACUGUGUCACACAUGAUAAAAGGAUCAAAGUCUAGAACAUGACUUCAGACUAUAAUUUAAGAUAAUUAAGAUUUUUAACCUAAAUUACAUUUUAACGUUUCAUAACAGAGCUGUCAAGAUUCUAUCUAUCAAAACUCUAUCAAGCAAACAAAAGAGGAUAAUUAUAUUUUCAGACACAUGCAGUCAUUACUCUGCUUAAGUUCUCAUAAAAAAGACUUCUGUCUUCUUUCACAUUCUCAUUUUCAAUUGCUCUUCCUCUUUCCACCCACCCUUGGAUUCUGAGACUAUACAUUCUUAAACAAGAGGAAAAUAUAACAAAGGAGUUUAUAACUCAGGCCGUGAAAGUGUUUCUCAGAAGCAGCAGUUCUAAUUAGAACUGCAUCUAAAGGAAAUAUCUCCUCGUUGGUAGGGACAUCUUGCCUCACUAAAUAGACUCUGAUUGGGGAUGGGGAAAAGGCAGCAUAUUAAACUCUUCAAAUCAAAGAGAACAAUGAAAUGCCAAAAAGCAUCCUCCUAGAAGCUGAAUUUGCUUUCGUCUUGUCCCAUUAAGAUAUGGAGACUGUUGCAAAAUCUUUGAGAUGCCACGGGAAGAAUACUAACUAUUUUGAGUAUUGUUGGAUGCCUGCCCAUCAUCCACUUCACCUCUCCCCUGACCAUUAGCAAUCAGCCAUGUCAAUGGGGUAAAAAUGACCCUAUUCCCCACUGCAGUGGCCUAAGGCACUCAGUGUAAUCUUAUCCUCGUUAGGACUGUGAUGGAUUCAGGAAUGUACAAGGAACACAGGCUGCAGCCAAUCCAUGCAUGGCAUCCCCCAGUUCCCGUGACUGCUCAAGACAGGGGCACAGGAUCUCACUUGGCCCCAUGGCCAGCAAUGAAGCCCACAAGUUUUGUUGGACAGUAGAGAGAAGAGAAAUGCUCUUCUUUUGGACCUGUGUAUUAAGACAUUGGACCCGGAACUGUUGCAGGCAUUUUGCUAUCAAUAAGGGAAGCCUGAGGACAAAGCCUAUACAUGGAGGAGGAUGAAGCCAGGACUGUUACAGAGCAACAGAGCAGGAAUCCUGAUUAAACUGUACAUGAACACUGACACAGCCAGUUUGAGUUCAGUUCUGCUUUGUUUGCAACCAAGAGCAUCCUAACUGAUCCACCAACUCUAAUAGUUGAGUACAGUGUUCUUAGCUUUGUUGGGAUCGUAGCCCUUUGAAAAUCUGAUAUAGACCAGGAUCCCUCUUCCAGAAAAACAUGUACAAAACGUCACAUAGAAUCUAGGGGUGACAGGGGCAUGGACUCCAGACUGAGUCUCCAGCAGACUAGUUAGGCACUUAGGCUUAGAGAUAGGAUAGACCUGGGUUCAAAUCCUAGCUCACCCACUACCAACUUCUUGUCACUUUAUGUAACACUAGUAAACCUCAUUUUAUUAUGCCACAAAAUGAGAAUAAUAAUACCUACUUCACAGGGGUAUAAAAUGUAAACAAAAUCAUGUAUGUCUAGAGAUUAGCACAGUACCUCUCUCACAGUCACAACCCGCAGCCUAUGGCAUCAAGCAAUUAAGAAUAGUCCUUAAAGGACUCCAGAACGAAAGUCCGUGAGAUAAACAUCUAUGUCAAGUGUUAGAAUAUGCACAAACUGAAGCCACCGCUGAUGUGAAUAUGUAAAGCAGUUGAUCAGGAAUUAGUCCUAGAUUUGGGGAAAACCUGUCAUGAGGACAGGAAUUUGGGCAAGACACAGCUUCUUAAUCUGAAAUGUGUCUAGCUAGUUCUCAAGACCAUAAUGGGGUCAAAUGAGAGAAAAAGGAUUUGAUCCACCUGCGGCAGAAGAGGGAGGGUUUUGUUAACUGUAAACUUUUUAAAAGGCAGAGUAAAGGAGAAUAAAAAAGACUUAUGGUUGUACAUCUGCAGACUUUCAGAAUCAUAAGACCAAAAACCAGUAAUUUCCC